rnacentral:rRNA from 1 species
CGCAAGCCUGACGGAGCAAGACCGCGUGCGGGAUGACGGCCUAAUGGUUGUAAACCGCUUUUCUCUGGGAAGAUGAUGACGGUACCUGAGGAAUCAGCCUCGGCUAACUCCGUGCCAGCAGCCGCGGUAAUACGGAGGAGGCAAGCGUUAUCCGGAAUUAUUGGGCGUAAAGCGUCCGUAGGUGGUUAUUCAAGUCUGCUGUUAAAGGUCGGAGCUAAACUCCGGUAGAGCAGUGGAAACUGGUGCGCUAGAGGGCGACAGGGGUAGAGGGAAUUCCCAGUGUAGCGGUGAAAUGCGUAGAGAUUGGGAAGAACACCGGUGGCGAAAGCGCUCUACUGGGUCGCACCUGACCCUCAGGGACGAAAGCUAAGGUAGCG